rnacentral:rRNA from 1 species
GACGAACGCUGGCGGCGUGCUUAACACAUGCAAGUCGAACGGAAAGGCCCUGCUUUUGUGGGGUGCUCGAGUGGCGAACGGGUGAGUAACACGUGAGUAACCUGCCCUUGACUUUGGGAUAACUUCAGGAAACUGGGGCUAAUAACGGAUAGGAGCUCCUGCUGCAUGGUGGGGGUUGGAAAGUUUCGGCGGUUGGGGAUGGACUCGCGGCUUAUCAGCUUGUUGGUGGGGUAGUGGCUUACCAAGGCGUUGACGGGUAGCCGGCCUGAGGGGGUGACCGGCCACAUUGGGACUGAGAUACGGCCCCGCCUCCUACGGGAGGCAGCAGUGGGGAAUAUUGCACAAUGGGCGGAAGCCUGAUGCAGCAACGCCGCGUGCGGGAUGACGGCCUUCGGGUUGUAGACCGCUUUCGCCUGUGACGAAGCGUGAGUGACGGUAAUGGGUAAAGAAGCACCGGCUAACUACGUG